rnacentral:sRNA from 1 species
GCAGCCCCCAUCUGGGUAAGCUUCACCGGGAGCUGUGACGGCGGCCCCUCCCUGCAGGCCUCAGGAGAUGUGAGGCUGGACCCCCAAACCCACGAGGCAGGCUCAGGCCGCCUGGUGGAUGCGCUGAAGAACUACGAGAUCAUCUUCUACCUGGCCGGCUCUGAGGUGGCCCUGGCCGGGGUCUUCAUGGCUGUCGCCACCAACUGCUGCCUGCGUUGUGCUAAAGCUGCCCCGUCAGGCCCAGGUGCUGAGGGUGGAGCCAGUGACACUGAGGGCGCUGAGGCUGAAGGGGACUCUGAGCCCCUGCCUGUCGUCGCAGAGGAACCCGGCAACCUGGAGGCCCUGGAGGUGCUCAGCGCCCAGGGCGAGCCCACAGAACCAGAAAUGGAGGCGAGGCCAAGGCUGGCUGCCGAGUCUGUGUAACUCAGCGUGCACUGGGUGGGGUGGCCCAGUGACUUGGGAACACAGCUUCUUGUCUCAGAGAGCCUGGUACGCUGGGAGGCUGGUCUGGGGUGGUCACUCCUGGGGUCCACGUCUGGGCUCCAGUUGAUCCCCUGGGUGUCUGGGAACUGCUUCCCUCAUCUGUGCCCCAAGUUCCGCCAGGCCCUGCCCCAUCGCCAGUGAAGCUAUGGAGCAACAGGAAACUGUUGAUAAAGCUCAGCUGAACGACAGAA